UACGGAGGGUGCAAGCGUUGUCCGGAUUUAUUGGGUUUAAAGGGUGCGUAGGCGGUUUAUUAAGUCAGUGGUGAAAGACGGUCGCUCAACGAUUGCAGUGCCAUUGAUACUGGUAGACUUGAGUGUGAUUGAGGUAGCUGGAAUGGAUAGUGUAGCGGUGAAAUGCAUAGAUAUUAUCCAGAACACCAAUUGCGUAGGCAAGUUACUAAGUCACAACUGACGCUGAGGCACGAAAGUGUGGGUAUCAAACAGGAUUAGAUACCCCUGUAGUCC
rnacentral:rRNA from 1 species